rnacentral:misc_RNA from 1 species
AAGUCGUAACAAGGUUUCCUUCCCGUUAAGAGAUUUAACUACUGAAGCCUUACACAGCGACUCUUAAAUCAACUGUGGAGUCUUACCUAGGUAAAGCAAUAACCGCUGAAAUGCUGUGAUCACGAAAGUGUACCAGCAGCCUAAUCCGAGGCCCACAGAUCAAGGUGGCGGUGGUCUUAGCUACACAGCUUUAGACUAUAAUAUGACCGGUUCUUAUCCUAAUGGUUAAGAGCUUUGACGUUCCGUAGGUGAACCUGCGGAAGGAUCAUUAAAGAGUUAGGGUCUUCUAGGCUCGAUCUCUAACCCCUUUGUAUAAAUACCAUGUUGCUUUGGCGGGCCCCGUCUUAACCGGACCGCCGGAGGUUAAAGCCCUCUGGCCAGCGCCCCUGUUCAGUAGGCCCCACAACAAAUUCUUUUUAAACCCAUGUAUCUUCUGAAAAUGUUAAUAAACUAAAAC